rnacentral:rRNA from 1 species
GCAUAUCAAUAAGCGGAGGAGAAAAGAACAACAGGGAUUGCCCUAGUAACGGCGAGUGAAGCGGCGGCACCUCGAAUUUGAAAUCUGGCUUCGGCCCGAGUUGUAAUUUGCAGAGGAAGCUUUAGGCUCGGCACUUUCUGAGUCCCCUGGAACGGGGCGCCAUACAGGGUGAGAGCCCCGUAUAGUUGGAUGCCUAGCCUGUGUAAAGCUCCUUCGACGAGUCGAGUAGUUUGGGAAUGCUGCUCAAAAUGGGAGGUAAAUUUCUUCUAAAUCUAAAUACCGGCCAGAGACCGAUAGCGCACAAGUAGAGUGAUCGAAAGAUGAAAAGCACUUUGAAAAGAGGGUUAAAUAGCACGUGAAAUUGUUGAAAGGGAAGCGCUUGUGACCAGACUUGCGCCGGGCAGAUCAUCCGGUGUUCUCACCUGUGACUCUGCCCGGCUCAGGCCAGCAUCCGUUCUCGCGGGGGGAUAAAGGCCCUGGGAACGUAGCUCCUCCGGGAGUGUUAUAGCCCGGGGCGUAAUGCCUUCGCGGGGACCGAGGUUCGCGCAUCUGCAAGGAUGCUGG